UCCCAGAGCUUAACUCUGGAACUGCCAUCAAAACUUUUCAGCUAGAGUAUGAUAGAGGAAAGCAGAAUUUCUAGUGUAGAGGUGAAAUUCGUAGAUAUUAGAAAGAAUACCAAUUGCGAAGGCAGCUUUCUGGAUCAUUACUGACACUGAGGAACGAAAGCAUGGGUAGCGAAGAGGAUUAGAUACCCUCGUAGUCCAUGCCGUAAACGAUGUGUGUUAGACGUUGGAAAUUUAUUUUCAGUGUCGCAGGGAAACCGAUAAACACACCGCCUGGGGAGUACGACCGCAAGGUUAAAACUCAAAUGAAUUGACGGGGACCCGCACAAGUAGUGGAGCAUGUGGUUUAAUUCGAAGAUACGCGCAGAACCUUACCAACACUUGACAUGUUCGUCGCGACUCUAAGAGAUUAGAGUUUUCGGUUCGGCUGGACGAAACACAGGUGCUGCAUGGCUGUCGUCAGCUCGUGUCGUGAGAUGUUGGGUUAAGUCCCGCAACGAGCGCAACCCUCACUUUUAGUUGCCAUCAUUAAGUUGGGCACUCUGAAAGAACUGCCAGUGAUAAGCUGGAGGAAGGUGGGGAUGACGUCAAGUCCUCAUGGCCCUUACGUGUUGGGCUACACACGUGCUACAAUGGCAUCUACAAUAGGAAGCAAAACGGCAACGUUAAGCAAAUCCCGAAAAGAUGCCUCAGUUCGGAUUGCACUCUGCAACUCGAGUGCAUGAAGCUGGAAUUACUAGUAAUCGUGGAUCAGCGUGCCACGGUGAAUGCGUUCCCGGGUCUUGUACACACCGCCCGUCACACCAUGGGAGUUGGUUCUACCUUAAGGCAAGGUUUUAAACCCUUGACCACGGUAUAGUCAGCGACUGGGGUGAAGUCGUAACAAGGUAACCAAGGGCG
rnacentral:rRNA from 1 species